AGCUAAUGUUGAUGGAUACAGUCCUAUUUAUAACCCUGAUGAAUGGUCCCCAAGUGGCGAUGUCUAUGUUGGCGAUUUGGGAGGAAGAAGGGGCGUAGAUCAAGGUGGUUUGUGGCGGGAGAGGUGAAGAGGGAGAGAGAAGAUAUUUUAUUAAUGAUCUUCAUUUUUUCCGGCAAAGAAGCUGUAGAUGAUUUCCAUUUUUUUUUUAUAAAUAAGGCAUCUUCAUUUUUUUGAUAAAAGAUUGUGAAUGGCAAU
rnacentral:misc_RNA from 1 species